rnacentral:rRNA from 1 species
CACAUGCAAGUCGAGGGGCAGCACGGGGUAGCAAUACCCUGGUGGCGACCGGCAGACGGGUGAGUAACGCGUAUGUAACCUACCCUGUACAGGGGGAUAACCCGGAGAAAUUCGGACUAAUAUCCCAUGGAAAUAUUGGAAGGCAUCUUUUGAUAUUUAAAGUUCCGGCGGUACGGGAUGGGCAUGCGUAACAUUAGCUAGUUGGUAAGGUAACGGCUUACCAAGGCUUUGAUGUUUAGGGGUCCUGAGAGGGUGGUCCCCCACACUGGUACUGAGACACGGACCAGACUCCUACGGGAGGCAGCAGUGAGGAAUAUUGGUCAAUGGGCGCAAGCCUGAACCAGCCAUCCCGCGUGCAGGAAGACGGCGCUAUGCGUUGUAAACUGCUUUUCCAGGGGGAGAAACUUGCGCACGUGUUGCGCAAUUGACGGUACCCUGGGAAUAAGCAUCGGCUAACUCCGUGCCAGCAGCCGCGGUAAUACGGAGGAUGCAAGCGUUAUCCGGAUUCAUUGGGUUUAAAGGGUGCGUAGGCGGACUAUUAAGUCAGUGGUGAAAUCCUGCAGCUUAACUGCAGAACUGCCAUUGAUACUGAUAGCCUUGAGUUUGGUUAAGGUAGGCGGAAUGUGUAAUGUAGCGGUGAAAUGCUUAGAUAUUACACAGAACACCAAUUGCGUAGGCAGCUUACUGAGCCGACACUGACGCUGAGGCACGAAAGCGUGGGGAUCGAACAGGAUUAGAUACCCUGGUAGUCCACGCCGUAAACGAUGAUUACUCGCUGUUGGCGAUACACUGUCAGCGGCUAAGCAAAAGCAAUAAGUAAUCCACCUGGGGAGUACGGCAGCAA